rnacentral:pre_miRNA from 1 species
CUCGCGGUAUAUUUUUGUGUUUUUGUUUAUUUUGGUUUAAAAUCAAAUCACAGGAGUAUACUGUGAG